AGGAACUGAAAAAUCUCACUAAAUUCAGAUGACAAAAGGAAGAGGGAGAGUGGAGCCAGGAUGCCACAAGCAAAAUUACUCGACUAGACUCCUUGCCAACUGCCUGUAUAACUGGUCUACUCUGAGAAUGGGACCAUGCUUUCCAUAUAAAGAGGAGGAUCUUGGAGUGUGGUCCAGGGACCAUGGGGAGCCCCAAGACUCCUAGGAGAAACCCCAAAACCCAAGGUAAAAGGAUUUCUUUUGCAAAAGACCUCAAGGAAGAGGAGACAAUGGCAACUAACUUCUGAAAGCUG